UCUCCGUUGGUGAACCAGCGGAGGGAUCAUUACAGAGUUUAGAAGCUCUUCAAACCACUGCGUACCUACCUCUGUUGCCUCGGCAGAAGCACCGGGGAGGCGGUGGGGGGGGGGACCGCAGGAGCCGAGCACUGGGGGGUAACCUCCCCCCGCGGUCUGCUCGCUGCGGGCCCCCCCGCCCCCCUCGGCAGCCUGCCGGUGGAUUUUCAAACCGUACAUUUCCGUCGAGAUUCUGAGCGAGCCUGCAUAGGCGAUAAUAAAAGUCACAACUUUCAACAACGGAUCUCUUGGCUCUG
rnacentral:misc_RNA from 1 species